rnacentral:rRNA from 1 species
UACGUAGGGUGCGAGCGUUAAUCGGAAUUACUGGGCGUAAAGCGUGCGUAGGCGGUUCGUUGUGUCUGUGGUGAAAGCCCCGGGCUUAACCUGGGAAUGGCCUGGAACUGGCGAGCUGGAGUGUGGCAGAGGGGGUGGGAAUUCCGCGUGUAGCAGUGAAAUGCGUAGAGAUGCGGAGGAACACCGAUGGCGAAGGCAGCCCCCUGGGCUAACACUGACGCUGGAGGCACGAAAGCGUGGGGAGCAAACAGG